GACCCUGAGAUUGGCUUAGCUGGUUAGAGCAUGGAGUUAAUAACACCAGGAUUGGGGGUUCAAUUCCUGUAUGGGCCA